rnacentral:rRNA from 1 species
UACGUAGGGUGCGAGCGUUGUCCGGAAUUACUGGGCGUAAAGAGCUCGUAGGUGGUUUGUCGCGUUGUUCGUGAAAUCUCACGGCUUAACUGUGAGCGUGCGGGCGAUGCGGGCAGACUAGAGUACUGCAGGGGAGACUGGAAUUCCUGGUGUAGCGGUGGAAUGCGCAGAUAUCAGGAGGAACACCGGUGGCGAAGGCGGGUCUCUGGGCAGUAACUGACGCUGAGGAGCGAAAGCGUGGGGAGCGAACAGG